GGGUGUGAUCAUACCAACACUAAUACACCGGAUCCCAUCAGAACUCUGCAGUUAAGCGUGCUUAGGCGAGAGUAGUACUAGGAUGGGUGACCUCCUGGGAAGUCCUCGUGUUACACUCG
rnacentral:rRNA from 1 species